GGGCAUAGCUUGUCCGAACCCCAAGUAUCUGCGUUUCUUUUUCUGAUUAUUUCCUUUUUUACUAAGACACAAUAUUUUCAGCGAUGUUGAUUUUCGAGACUGAUUAGUUUCCUUUUUUCUAACAAUAGUGUAUUCUGUAAAGGAAAUAAAACCUUUUCUGAAACAUAAUGUGUGAUAAUGUUCAAUCAUUUGUGUGUUUAUCAUUGAAAAAGUUACAAUAAUGUGAUGAAAGUGAAAGUAGUCCUGUAAAAGUUACCAAAGAAAAAACCUGCUAUAUUUAAAGACAUUCAUCUAAGUAAAUAUGUUUUUAUUUACCACAGUACUUAGAUAAAUAUCUUAGACACACAAGUAGCACAAAGUUAGAGAGAAAUGUUUCCUUGAUAGAUUUUUUUUUUUUAGUUUUUCUUUACAAUUUGAAGACGGACAGUUUUUCUUUACAAAUAGAAGACGGGCAUAUUUUGCUUAAAUUAGAAGACGGGCAGGGCAGUUUUUCUUUAAAUUAGAAGACGGACAGUUUUUCUUUACAAUUAGAAGACGGGCAGAUUUUCUUUACAAAUUAUAGAAGACGGACAGUCGAAUCAUUAGGACACCUGUGACCUGAUACAUUUAUUUUUAUACACUCUUGCAAGGCAUACUUACGUUUCUGACAAUACAGAAAAUAACAGCUUUUUCCGGAAGUUUCUAAAAUGAAAAUACACGGACUAAACUUGAAAUGGAUGUCGCAUUUUUAAGGUACAAUAGUACUAAAUAAGUAAUCAAACAGCACUUCCGAGCUUCAGAUAAUGGCAGAAAGAAAAAAUCUGAUAAUGGCGGAAAGAAAAAUUCCUCAACUUUUCUCUCGUAUAAAAUGGACUUUUUAUUGGCAUUUUCGUGUUUUAUGUAAGCCUGUUUCUGUUGUUAUUUCAUUGUGGACCUAAACAUGACACUGUAGUAGCAUUUUCAAAAAGAUUUUUUUUGCAUUUAAAGAAAUGUAAAUAAACCUCAUUACACAUGUGUUCAUACCGACAUUCUAGCAAUCAGUUUUGAAGAUGUUCCAUUGUGUUGACCUGUCAGACAAAACAUUUCUCAUAGAAGAUACAUUAACCCUACUUUUCUUGUUUUUUGUGGUUUAUAGGUCAUUUAUGAACACAAGGUUAGUACUUAAAAAAAUGGGCCUGACUAAGUGUGACAACUCUUUUGAAUGGAACAUAUAGCAAAUUUAUUUUCUACUGUGUUACCUAAAGGUCUACAUCCAGGGUCAAACUGUCUAAAAUAUAACCGUGGAAAUUUUUAGUCAAUUUUUUGCCCGGUGCUCUUUCUUACGAUUUGAAAAAUAGCCCGGGUUUUUUAUAUAUGAAGUAUUUUUUACACACUGAACAGAGAACCAUAACGGGACAAGUGUGUGUUUCAAAUCCCGUCAAAAUGUUAUUAAACUAAAAGCCGUUUCAAUGCUGUCUAAAAGUGUCAGUAUAUGAUUCAGGUGUCAGUAUAUGAUUCAGGUGUCAGGUACCUGAUACUGAUUCAGGUGUCAGUAUAUGAUUCAGGUGUCAGUAUAUGAGGUGUCAGGUAUAUGAUUCAGGUGUCAGUAUAUGAUUCAGGUGUCAGUAUAUGAUUCAGGUGUCAGGUAUAUGAUUCAGGUGUCAGUAUAUGAUUCAGGUGUCAGGUAUAUGAUUCAGGUGUCAGUAUAUGAUUCAGGUGUCAGUAUAUGAUUCAGGUGUCAGGUAUAUGAUUCAGAUGUCAGGUAUAUGAUUCAGGUGUCAGUAUAUGAUUCAUGUGUCAGAUAUAUGAUUCAGGUGUCAGUAUAUGAUUCAGGUGUCAGUAUAUGAGUCAGGUGUCAGGUAUAUGAUUCAGGUGUCAGUAUAUGAUUCAGGUGUCAGGUAUAUGAUUCAGGUGUCAGUAUAUGAUUCAGGUGUCAGGUAUAUGAUUCAGGUGUCAGUAUAUGAUUCAGGUGUCAGGUAUAUGAUUCAGGUGUCAGUAUAUGAUUCAGGUGUCAGGUAUAUGAUUCAGGUGUCAGUAUAUGAUUCAGGUGUCAGAUGUUUCUGUAUUUAAAAAGCUGCUGACCUAGACAUUGCAGCCAUAUUUUCAAAAUGGCUUUUGUAUAAUAAUUUGUUGAUUCUACGGAUGCGUGUAGGUGCCAUCAGUCGCUAAUACGUUUUUACGUUAUAGAUACAGAAAGGAUAUAAGACAAACUGUUUGUUGUUCCAAAGCUACUUCUACUUUUUCUGAACAAAUUUUAUACUUUUUUUAAAAGAAAAAAAAUGGUAUAGUUUGGGUUUUGAGGUCAGGACACGGACAUUAUGUUGUCAACUAGAAUACCCGUUGCGGAUAUCUUGACAGCUAGAAUACCGGACGUGGAUAUUGUGUGGUACGUUUACGACAAUAUCAUAAAUAUCGCAGUAUGGUUUCACAAUAAACGUUUGUCAGAAAACGGUUUCAAGGAAAUGUCAUGUCCCAGAGAACUGUAUAGAUCUACAUACUUGUUGAGGAAUAUAGUCUCAAUGUCAACCAGUGUUUCGACUUUCGUAAAAUUUUCAGUGUUAUUUAAUAAAUAUUAAAGAAAUUGAAUAUGAGCUAGAUAAGUUUGAUAAGAGAAAAAGUAGAGGUUCCACACCAGUAAGCUACUUGCUGUGUGAUAAUGUAAGGGUGUCCGAAUUUUAUUACAUGAAGGUAAAUAUAUAACCUAUUCACGUAGUAUGUGAACUUAAACAUUUUGAUUGAUUUCAACACGUUACAAAAUAUUGAAUCUAAAAGAAAAAAAAAUUGAUAAGACAUAAAUUUUAAAUGAAUUAUUAAUCACAUGAACUGCGAUCAGAAAUUUGGGAUUUUACAAAA